rnacentral:rRNA from 1 species
CCGGGCUUGAAUUGCAGAGGAAGGAUUUGGAGACAAUGACGCCCUUCGGGGCCUCUAUGAAGGUGCUGCAUGGUUGUCGUCAGCUCGUGCCGUGAGGUGUCGGCUUAAGUGCCAUAACGAGCGCAACCCCUCUCGUUAGUUGCCAUCAGGUCAUGGUGGGCACUGUGGGGACACUGCCACCGUAAGGUGUGAGGAAGGUGGGGAUGACGUCAAAUCAGCACGGCCCUUACGUCCGGGGCUGCACACGUGUUACAAUGGCAGGUACAGAGGGACGGUCCCUUGCAAAAGGGAUCAAAUCCUCAAAGCCUGUCUCAGUUCGGAUUGGGGUCUGCAACCCGACCCCACGAAGCUGGAUUCGGUAGUAAUCGCGCAUCU